CUGGCCCCCUGUCUCGUGCCCUUCAGACCACUGGCUCCUCCUUUCUGAAUGGGCCUGGCCAGCACAGAUGGAGCAAAAGAAAGUGACCCUCCGGCAUCUCAUGUUGCAGCUCAUAAAAAUGUGAAGACACAAUGACAUUGCAAGUAUUUAAAACUUCAGACUGUCCAGCAGAAGGAGCUUGGGUCUGAAGGUUUCUUUAUCCCUUUCACUGAAAUAUGUUGCCUAACUCCGUUUUAAGAAGUUUUUGCUUUCAUGUGGCUUUUUUUUCCCAUGAGACUGAAAACCGAUAUUCACGUUGUGGGGGAAAGGGGAGGUUUCACAAGAGCCAUGCAGCCGACGUCAGAAGAGGGACAGAGCCCCCACUCAGGGCCCUUGAAGUCAAGGCCACCCGCCCAGGCCUGCUGGUGGGAGGGCGAGGGACACAGUGAGCAAGGAGGGGCAGAGAAGUCAAGGCACCUGCCAAGGGCUGGCAGUGGGAGGGCGGGGGGUGCAUUGGGCCAGGCAGGGGGUAAAGAAGUCACAGGCGUCCUCCCAGGGGCAGUGGUGGGAGGGUGGGGGGGCGCAGGGGUCCAGAUGUUAGGGCGGAGCCGAGUCCUGGCUGGCAUCCAUCCUUGUGGUCUGUGCCACUGGAGGGAAUCCAUGUGCUGUGUCAUUGGGUCUCUCUGAGCUUCCCUGGCGCUCUUCUCCCGCAUGUGCCAAAGCCCGUUUUCUGCACCUGCCCCCCCCAAUCGUUCUUGCCUUGGCUGUCGCCUGUCCUCAGUGGUUUCAGUGUCCCAUGAAGCUCUAGAUGGUCUGUGCAUGUCUGCGUGGCAAGAGCUGUGCCAACAAGAUCACCGGCCAAUCCUGCAAACCUGUGAGUGCCUGUGUGCUGCGUCCACAUCCGGGUGGUUGUGGAACUGGCUGGUCCUGACUGUGAGCAGUGGGUCCUGGAGCUUCCAUUGGCUGGGAAGGGGCUCCGGUCCUGGCUGUGAGUGGGGUCCUACAGCUGUUGUUGGCUGGGAAGGGGGUCCCGCCCUGGCUGUGAAUGGAGUCCCGGAGCUGUUGUUGGCUGGGAAGGGGCUCCCGCCCUGGCUGUGAGUGGGAUCCUGGAGCUGUUGGUGGCUGGGAAGGGGCUCCUGCCGUGACUGUGAGUGGGGGUCCUGGAGCUGUUGUUGCCUGGGAAGGGGGUCCCGCCCUGGCUGUGAGUGGGGUCCCGGAGCUGUUGUUGGCUGGGAAGGGGAUCCCGCCUUGGCUGUGAGUGGGGUCCCGGAGCUGUUGUUGGCUGGGGAGGGGGUCCCGCCUUGGCUGUGAGUGGGGUCCCGGAGCUGUUGUUGCCUGGGAAGGGGGUCCGGCCCUGACUGUGAGUGGGGUCCCGGAGCUGUUGUUGCCUGGGAAUGGGGUCCCGCCCUGGCUGAGUGGGGUCCCGGAGCUGUUGUUGGCUGGGAAGGGGGUCCAGCUCUGACUGUGAGUGGGGUCCUGGAGCUGUUGGUGGCUGGGAAGGGGCUUCUUCCGGGGGCCGUCCCCAGGGCUUCUUUUCAGGGUGGGCCGUGUGAGGUGCAGCCAUUACCCUGAGAGCAUGAAAUGAAGGUGCUGGCAGGCGCUUGCAGCACCUGGAGGCAGGUUGCCCUGAUUCUGCGUCUGUCCUUUGGGUACUUGGAAAGCAUCUUCAUGCCUAUGUCCACCUUCUGCACUCCCACCACGUCCUGUGGCCUUGUGUGCUCCCAUCAUGUGGCUGACCCUGUGCUGUCUCACAGGGGCUGGAGCUGGUGCUGAGCUGGGUGCAUCUCAGGCCCACCACGUCCGCAAACAAGGGAGUGGUCUGGCGGCCGAGGCUUACGGGCUCUGAGACCCAUCAGGGAGCAGAUGGGUCGGGCUGGGAGGUCUCAGGUGUGUGAGCCUGCGGGGCAGAGGAGCUCCUGAGGGAAAAUGCAUCCCAGGGGCCUCGCAGGGUGGGGCCUCACGGAAGAAGGAGCACUAGAAGGACAGUGGCGAUGGAGCCCCCUCUCUCUGCAGGCCCGGCCGGCUCAUCUGUGGGGUGUGCAGAGUGGGACCUGUACCUCCAGGGUUGCCACUGGACCGACUGAGAUAGAGCCUGUGAGAGGCGGGUAGUGGAGUGUUCCCAAAUUUACUGAGGCUUGACAGAGGGACAAGCCAAAGCAUGAGGCUGCCAGAUGCCAGGCUGGGUUGUUCAGAGGGGUUCCUGUGGAGGUUUUCUGAGACACGGAAAUAUAAAACAAUCUUCCUUGGAGGAGAGAACUGGGGCUGGGCUGCGCUGUCCUGGUGUGAGGCAGGGUGGCCAGCCAGAGGCCCAGGCCGCUCCCGGGAGCCCCGGCCAUGCUUGGCAUGUUCAGACCCUGCAGCCAUGGAUGCUGCGGUGGAACCGGGGUCUGCGGGGACCCAGAGCUUCUCGCUUUGGUGGCUGGGCCAGGAUCCUUAGCAGGGCGUUGUGUCUGUGGGGUGCAGAACAAAAAUGUAAGGAGUCACCACCGUUUCCUUCCUCACUCUGCCCUCGCACGCGCUCCACAGGAGCUUGGACAUCCUGCGCGCGUGACUCCCUGGGAGUUUGCAUGCAUCUGUCAGCAGAGGUUCCCGUGCUGUGUGGGUGUUCACCGCGUGGGUGGCGCAGUCCACGAUGCACGGAGGUCAGUGGGAGGCAUGGCAUGGUGGGGCCUUGAGGGGAUGCUGGAUGGAAGACAGCUGAGUGGCCAGCGCCUGACAAGCCCUGUCCUGCCCGGGAUGGGAGGGGGACGCAUUUGCCCCCCCAUGAGUAUGGUUCCGGAAUGAGGUGAAUAUAUAAGCAGGUAAUGAUGGUUACAGAUGUGUAUUUACACAUAUAAAUCCAUGCUACGUAAACGAUAUCAUACAAAUAUAUCCUGAUAUGUAUUUUCAUUGAAAGUCUACCCCAAAGUACCAAGCCUGUUUAAGGUACAGGAAACUGUUUAGAGUGGACAUCACCAGACUUUGGGGCCCCACAUGUGCCCUUGGGCCUGUGAUGGUGCCGAUUCCGGCCCACACCAGGGCGCCUGUCCUCCUCUGUCUGGGGACAGCCAGGAAUCUGCACUUCCAGGCUUUCCAGGGGUCCCAGUGGACAGCUUAUGGAUCACACUUUAGAGGCUUGGAUUCAAUUCAUAUGGGUGCACACACAUGCCUGUCCACACAGACUGUAAGCUAAACAUAGACACGCGUGUGUUCCAAGCUUUAGCUCGUACAGGUGCACACACAUGCCUGUCCACACGCACUGUAAUAUAAAUGUAGGCACACGUGUUCCAAGCUGUAGUGUGUACAUGUACACACACACGUGUGCAUACACACACAGUAAGCUAAAUGUAGACACAUAUGUGUUCCAAGCUGUAGUUCGUACAGGUGUACCCACACGCCUGUCCACACACGCUGUAAACUAAAUGUAGACACAUGUGUGUCCAAGCUGUAGCUCAUACAGCUGCACACACACGCCUGUCCACCCACACUGUAAGCUAAAUGUAGACACAUGUGUGUCCAAGCUGUAGCUCAUACAGCUGCACACACACGCCUGUCCACCCACACUGUAAGCUAAAUGUAGACACUUGUGUCCAAGCUGUAGUUCAUACAGCUGCACACACCCAUGCCUGUCCACACACACUGUAAACUAAAUGUAGGCACACGUGUUCCAAGCUAUAGCUCAUACAGGUGCACACACAUGCCUGUCCACACACACUAAGCUAAAUGUAGACACACAUGUGUUCCAGGCUGUAGCUCGUACAGCUGCACA